rnacentral:rRNA from 1 species
AGGGAGGCUACCAUGCAAGUCGACGAGAAGGCGUAGCAAUACGCUUGUAAAGUGGCGAACGGGUGAGGAAUACAUGGGUAACCUACCCUCGAGUGGGGGAUAACCCGCCGAAAGGCGAGCUAAUACCGCGUACGCUUCCGAUCUUGCGGGAUUGGAAGGAAAGCCGUCCCAAGGGGAUGGCGCUCAAGGAUGGGCUCAUGUCCUAUCAGCUUGUUGGUAGGGUAACGGCCUACCAAGGCAUCGACGGGUAGCUGGUCUGAGAGGACGAUCAGCCACACUGGCACUGCGACACGGGCCAGACUCCUACGGGAGGCAGCAGUGAGGAAUAUUGCGCAAUGGGCGAAAGCCUGACGCAGCGACGCCGCGUGGGGGAUGAAGGUCUUCGGAUUGUAAACCCCUUUCGGGUGGGAAGACGGCCCUAGACAACUAGGGCGGACGGUACCACCAGAAGCAGCCACGGCUAACUUCGUGCCAGCAGCCGCGGUAAUACGAAGGUGGCAAGCGUUGUUCGGAUUUACUGGGCGUAAAGGGAGCGUAGGUGGUUAGGUAAGCCCUCCGGGAAAUCUUCAGGCUUAACCUGAAAAGGUCGGGGGGGACUGCCUGGCUAGAGGACGGGAGAGGAGCGCGGAAUUCCCGGUGUAGCGGUGAAAUGCGUAGAGAUCGGGAGGAAGGCCGGUGGCGAAGGCGGCGCUCUGGAACGUUUCUGACACUGAGGCUCGAAAGCGUGGGGAGCAAACAGGAUUAGAUACCCUGGUAGUCCACGCCCUAAACGAUGGACACUAAGUGCCGGCGGGGUACCGUCGGUGCCGCAACUAACGCAUUAAGUGUCCCCCCUGGGGAGU